GUGGUUGUUGCUGGCCCUCUCGGGGGCAUGUGCACACCCACCAUCCUCAUCUCUCCACCUGUGCACCUCUUGUAGACCUGAAUAGACUUUCCGAGGCAACUCGGUCGGGAAGAUUGCUGCGCUCUGUGAGCCAGCUUUCUUUGCAUGUCCAGGCCUAUGUUUUUCAUAUACCCCUAUAGAAUGUAACAGAAUGUAUCAUUGGGCCUUGUGCCUAUAAACCUUAUACAACUUUCAGCAACGGAUCUCUUGGCUCUCGCAUCGAUGAAGAACGCAGCGAAAUGCGAUAAGUAAUGUGAAUUGCAGAAUUCAGUGAAUCAUCGAAUCUUUGAACGCACCUUGCGCUCCUUGGUAUUCCGAGGAGCAUGCCUGUUUGAGUGUCAUUAAAUUCUCAACCUUAUUAGCUUUUGUUGAUAAUGGAUUGGAUGUGGGGGUUUAUUUGCUGGCUUCUUCACAGAGAUCAGCUCCCCUUAAAUGCAUUAGCUGGUGCCCCGCGUGGACCAUCUAUUGGUGUGAUAAUUAUCUACGCCGUGGAUGUCUGCAAUCAUAUGGGUUUUGCACUGCUUCUAACCGUCUGUUCAUUCGGACAAUACAUGACAAUUUGACCUCAAAUCAGGUAGGACUACCCGCUGAACUUAAGCAUAUCAAUAAGCGGARGAAAAGAAACUAACAAGGAUUCCCCUARUAACUGCGAGUGAAGCGGGAAAAAGCUCAAAUUUAAAAUCUGGCGGUCUCCAGCUGUCCGAGUUGUAAUCUAGARAAGUGUUAUCCGCGCUGGGACCGUGUACAAGUCUCC
rnacentral:rRNA from 1 species